UACGUAGGGACCAAGCGUUGUUCGGAAUUACUGGGCGUAAAGGGCGCGUAGGCGGCCCGCUAAGUCGAACGUGAAAUCCCCGAGCUCAACUCGGGAACUGCGUCCGAUACUGGCGGGCUUGAAUCCGGGAGAGGGAUGCGGAAUUCCAGGUGUAGCGGUGAAAUGCGUAGAUAUCUGGAGGAACACCGGUGGCGAAGGCGGCAUCCUGGACCGGCAUUGACGCUGAGGCGCGAAAGCUAGGGGAGCAAACGGG
rnacentral:rRNA from 1 species